CGGACGGGUGAGUAACACGUGGAUAACCUACCUAUAAGACUGGGAUAACUACGGGAAACCGGAGCUAAUACCGGAUAAUAUAUUGAACCGCAUGGUUCAAUAGUGAAAGACGGUUUUGCUGUCACUUAUAGAUGGAUCCGCGCCGCAUUAGCUAGUUGGUAAGGUAACAGCUUACCAAGGCAACGAUGCGUAGCCGACCUGAGAGGGUGAUCGGCCACACUGGAACUGAGACACGGUCCAG
rnacentral:rRNA from 1 species